rnacentral:rRNA from 1 species
UACCAGCACCCCGAGUGGUCGGGACGAUUAUUGGGCCUAAAGCAUCCGUAGCCGGUCAUGCAAGUCUUCCGUUAAAUCCAGCCGCUCAACGGUUGGGCUGCGGAGGAUACUACGUGGCUAGGAGGCGGGAGAGGCAAGCGGUACUCAGUGGGUAGGGGUAAAAUCCUUUGAUCCAUUGAAGACCACCAGUGGCGAAGGCGGCUUGCCAGAACGCGCUCGACGGUGAGGGAUGAAAGCUGGGGGAGCAAACCGGAUUAGAUACCCGGGUAGUCCCAGCUGUAAACGAUGCAGACUCGGUGAUGGGAUGGCCUCGAGCUAUCCCAGUGCCGCAGGGAAGCCGUUAAGUCUGCCGCCUGGGGAGUACGGUCGCAAGACUGAA